rfam:Drosophila willistoni strain TSC#14030-0811.24 1099000009401, whole genome shotgun sequence.
AAACUUCCUGCAGAAACUGCUGCCAAUUGUUUGAUGAAUUGCGGUAAGAAGUCAAGGGUUCAUUGGCUGGGAUUAGUAGGUAAG